rnacentral:lncRNA from 1 species
CUUCUUUUGUCAAACUUCACAGAAAGAUGUGGCUUAAACUGAAGCUAAUUUUCAUAUGCAGACAUCCAAUGAAAAUGGAAAUAUGCCAGUAUACUGAAGGUUAGACGUCAUGCUGAAGACUUUACCUAAGAUUUUAGCAAAUGUCACAUCUAAGGC